AUUUAAGUAAAAAGCGUGCUGUAUUGUUGUUUGUUGUUGUAUAUUUUAUUUCAAAUAUUUGCGAAUAUUUUUGAAAUGCGUGCGCUGCAUAAUUCCUCAUUAGAAGCAAAAUGUUUAAUUUUAAAUACAUACAUACAUACAAAUAUUGUUUCGUCCUUUUAAGCAACUAUUUUAUUUUAAUUUUAAAUUAAUAUACAUACAUACAUAAUAUAUACAAACUCAAACGCACAUACCUACAAACAUAGAUAAAUAAAUAAAGCAGAAGCGUAAGAAGAAUUCAAAUGGAGGAGCUGUCUGUCUGUCGUCUUACAUACAAAUAUAUAUAGUAGUUGAAAAGUAGAACAAAAACAAAAACCUCAACGGCUGAAGUUGCGUUUAAAAAUAAAAAGGCCCAAUUUCAUCGAAGGAUAAAUAGAAUUUAAGUGCCCCCCCCCCCCCCCCAGCAAAUAAACCAACAACAAAAAAGAAGUACACAAGAGAAAUUAAUGAUAUAACAAAAUUCAGUAGCAACUCAGAUUUUGCACAAUUAGAAAACAAAAACAAAAACUCAUGAAGAAACGAAAAUAAAUGUGAAAAUUGUUAAAUAAAAAAAAGCUUUAAUGUAAAAAAAAAAUUGAAUUGAAACGAAAUUUGUAAAACUUAAAACAAUUUAUAUCCAGAAAGUUUUGUUUGGAUUCUAAUGUGUUAAGAUUUCUUUUUUUAAAACAUUUUUUAAGCCCCUGCUUUAAGUUAUAUAUGUAUGUAUAUUUUGAAAAACCAAACAAACAUAUAUUAAUAAUAAAAAAGAAACACACACAAAUUUAAAACAAAAAACUUAAACAAAAACAUACUUUUAAUAAGACAAACACACACACAUGGACACACAUAGAAAAUAACAACAAAAAUUUAACCAACCGUAUGUAAAUCCACCAAACCGUAUUGUAUUAUUGUAGCGAUUUUCAUAUUUAGAGAAGCAAAAACAAAAAACAAAAACGAGAAAAAACAUUUAAAUCUGCAUUCUUUGCAAAAA